rnacentral:lncRNA from 7 species
GAAGUCGGCUCCGCUGCUUGGAGCGGGGGGGGGCGCGCGAGCUGGGCGCUUUCCCGGCCUUUGGCGCUGAGGUGACAGAGGUUUCAUUUAAGAACAGAAGGAUCUAACAUCCCCGAGUUUGAAGACAAGCUGCUUCCAAAAUACAAUAGAAGUAGAUCAGAAAGCAAAUGGGAACUCUGCUUUCUUUAUGAACUGAUGAGGAAAGACUUGAAGAGAAAAAGAGGAGGCAGCACAUCUUAGGAUUUGAAUCAGACAACUGCAACAGCAAGUCUGACCGAAGUGUGAGAAGAUUUGCUAAAUGGAGAACUUCUAUGUAGAGGCAUAACUUAGCUAUGAAAGCUGCUGCUGCAUGGCUAUUCUUGGCCUUAAAAUUGAGCAAUAGCUUUGCUGUUUGCUCUGGACCAAAGCUCCAGCUGAGUCAAGUGGAGAUUUGAAAGUUUUCAUGAGGGUUUGGCCAACUUACAGUGAAAAAGGCAUUGGAAUAUGCAUGAAAAAAAAAGGAGGAAAAAGAAUUUGAGCUGCUAAUUCUUCUAAGUGAGGAUCUGUGGCAAUGUGGAUUACUGCCACAUCUGAGUUUGCAACGAUGAAGAAAACUGUAUAAUGCUUGAAUUGCAAGCCGGUUGCUGUUAGAAGCACAUGAAAUAAUUAUUUGGAAGACCAAUCAGGAAGCAUUCAAAUAUUCCUUGGUGACGUGGACUACUUUAGUUGUGUUGCUUGCUGCCUUCUAGAUCUCAGACAUCAGGGGUUCACACAGAACAAGCCUUGCAUGCUGAAACCUGGUCAGUCUGAAACAGCGUGUUAGAACAAGAGUUUACAGUUGGACAUACUUUGCUUUGGGGAUCGGUGGAGAGUUUGGAGACUGAUACAGAUACCUUGCAACUGGAUACCCAUGAGAAUGAAAGAGCUGAACUGAAAGAGAUUAAGUAGCUCUUUGUACAUUCUUCCGUGUGAAGUGUAAAGAACUGAGGGCUUCAUUGUUUUGUAACCACUUAAAAAUUAAAGGGG